AAACUGCAAGCAAAUAUAAUUUUCAACGUUAAUUAUGUCAAAUUUAUGGAACAAAAAGCCAAAACUAACGACAGCAACAAUUGCCUAAUCGAUCCAGAUGUUCAAACGGUAGCUUAUUUGACCCUUCAAAUGAAACUUCGCAUCGUUGACCCUUUACCUUUCAGGUGGAGUAGCUUCCUAACAUGACAAAUUUUAACCGGUACAAGUCUCUUUAGUCUUUACACUAUUUACUCUCACUGUUUUCCAAUUCCUUUAUAGUGGUUCGACCAUCUGUUCUUAAACUUGUAAACUUUCUUAGUCCUGUUCUGUUAAACUUCAUAGGUUCCUGUAAUAUAGAAACUAGUAUGGGCUUUGUCAGAGGAUUCUAUAGGGUAUUUUAAGUAUUGUAAAAUGUGAGAUGAUACAUAAAUUUCGUUGGUCUUUGCAAUUCAAGCAUAAUUGUUGGCUAGACUCUACUUUUAUUUAGGUAAGCAGUUUUAAAAUUAAAGCCAGUGCAAGCCAAUGCAGAUUGCUAACUGUUUAUUUUCGACUAAUUUUUUUCUGGUACGAGGUCCCUUGUAGAUAAACAACUAAGUUUGAUUGAGUUCUGAUUAGUCAUCAUCCAUUAUCCAGUAUGGGUAUGAUGAGGUCACCUAAAACCAAAAAGCAUAGACGAGACUCAUAGUUCCUUGUUUUACCAAAAAAUAGGGCAAUUGGUAGUUGAUCUCUAUCAAAUGGUUUGACGAAAUUUUAUUAGAGGAUCCGGUGCUUAGUUCAAACAUGGAACAUGAUGCUGACAGUUCAUUCUUUAUAAUAUAAAUGAAAACAUGGUAGGUAAAGAUGAGUAAGUUUCAAGUUCAAAGUCCCGUCAUGGGCAUGCAAGAGUUGGUCAAUCUUCAUUUCUUGGAACUUAAACUGAUUGAAAUUUACUAGGAAUUUGACUUUUUGGCAUGGUCGAUUAGUGCUGAAAGCAAUGAUCUUAGAAACCAGGAUAAAUCUUAUGUCUCUCUGAUUGUACAUGCAUGUGGUUACGCAUCCAGUUAACUGCAUAUAUACACUAGUUGGUCUUGGCAAUUUCUAUACAUCUUUCAAUAUAAUAGAGUUAAAUCUUGUUGAAGUGUUGUGUCUAUGACUCAGAAGUCAUCAAUGAGGUAAAAUAUAGUUGUCUUAAUUACAUUAGUCAUAUAUAAUCUUUAACCAUAACAGCCCCCACUUUCCUUACAACAAAAAAAAAAGAGAAGUGGAAAGAGAAAAAUUUAGCAUGCAUGCUAAUAUCUCAAUCUUACACUGUAAUAUAGGCAUUGUAGUUUAUUUUGAUAUGUUGGUUCAUUUGCUUGCCAUGACCUCAUUGUUGGGCUGCAGCCUCCAAUUAUCAGGCGACAUAGCCGCCCAUUUAUAGCAAGAAUGUGCAUUUAAUCAUUUUCAUUCUGUUUUGGUACACUGUCAUGUGGGUUGUUCCAUUUUCCAGAUUAAUUUUUGCAGUCCUUUCUAGCAAGUGCAACAACUUGUGACUUCUUAUAGCUUUUUAUUUUUCCAUUCAACUGAAUGUUUAUUAUAUAGGGGGUCCUCUGCAUUGAUUUAACAACUUACUAAAGAAUAGGGUAAAUCUGAAACAUUGUCAUAGUAGAUCAAUUCUGGCAAUUGAUGUUAUUGUAAGAUAUCCUGUGAUUGAAAUCAUUCUUGUGAGAUAAAAGUUGUCCAAAAAAGCUAAUGUUCAAGCCAGUUGGUUCAAGGGCUGUUGAGAGAGAGAGAGAGAGAGAGAGAGAGAGAGAGCCUUAGUAUUCAUGUAAAUAUCUUCAUAUCCGGUUUUCCAAAUUAACCCGCUUCUAUUAGGAAAUCACUUUAGCUGUCAGAUUGAGUGAAGUAAACUAAUAGGGAACUAUAACUAGAUAGAAGAAGUAGGCACUUGUGAGUUCUGUACUAGUCUUUAAGGUAUACAGUGCUGUGUUUUGUUCCCGUAAAUACAAAGUUUGAGAGAAGUAACUGGGAAGCUUAAAACCAUAUACGGCAUAAAUGCUGUUGUGAUUACAACAUUUUUCCUACUCUUGGUUCAGAGCCCAAAGAAUUUAAUUAUGCCAGUAGUUUUUGAAGUUGUUUGUAUUUAUAUUGUGUAGAGAUUGGUUAAAAGGCUCCACGAGUAAUAGGCAUUAUCACAUCUCUAGGAGAUUUCUAAAAAUACAGUGGAGAUUACUGACCACAGGACUACCCCUCCCAUGGAACGAAAGGAUGCCCAACAAUGUCCUGAUUAGCGGCCAGGAAUGGUGGCUUUCUCAUUGUGUUUGAGAGACACAGGCCAUACUUUAUUAUUUUCAUGUUAGUAAGAUAUAAUAUGUUGAUUCUUGAGGUUUGAAGGGACCUUCUUGCACGAUGAAACACUUGCUUAAUCGUAAUGCUAGACACUUUUUUUUUUUUAAUUAAUUUGCUGAAGAUCCCAUGAAAGAUGAGCUAGUCAAACCAUGAUGGCCACCACUUUAUGGAAGAUAGAGGUUCACAUCAGACAAGGUCUUAGUUUAUCUUGGAUAAAGAGUGACAUUCCACAAUUAGUAAAUCUCUUCCAUUGUUGCUUGAAGUCUCAAACACUAGGCAUCUAGUAGAUGCUAUAACCCACAUGGUUUCUACUCUUUUUCGUUAAAGGUUGUAUCUUGGUGGGAGUGAUUCUUUUGGACUCUUCACUUGCCAUUUACCUGCAUCUCGAGGAGUUUUCAAUUCCAAAAAAUAAAAAACAAAAAUAAAAACUUCUUUAGGUACUGCGGUGACGAGCCGAGUGACGAUGGAUGCAUGGGAUAUUUUCACUUACAUUCAUAGGAUAUUCAUAUUUUGAUCAUGGAAUCUAGAACAUUGCGUUAGUUUAAGUUGUGUUACUUUUGUAGAACAUCUUUACACGUAGCUAAUCGAGUUCUUCAACAUCUGUAAUCCUCAACUAGAUGUAAAAUCAUGAGAAGAAAUCUUCAUUUCGUGGUGCAGCUUGCUUGGAGGCCGUACAUGAUUUUUGCAUGUCCAUUGUGUAAGUGGUCCAUACUAUAGAUUUUAUAAUGACUAACAUGCUAUGCAUUUCUGUACGAAACCUUUAUUUAUUGUAUUGUGCAAUGGGAGUGACGAAGCAGAACAUUUAGCCAAGUAAAUUGUGCUUAUGCCCAUUUUAUUUAUCAUGGUUUAAUUAGCUUAAGAUACUGCUUAUAAUAAUGUAGUCCAAUCAUGCUUAAGUGAUGCAGAGAGGAUCUUGAAAGCAGCGAUGGAAUUGCAAAAAGGUGGCCGGCCCUUAGGAUGGGAACAAGUUUAUGCAGAAAUCUAAGAGAGGGCUGUUCUGGCAUGUAUGUGGCCGCCCUCCUAGACCAAUUGGGUGUUUGGGGAUUAGUGAUUAAUGUUAGAUCAUGAUAGAUGUCAACCCGACCCAUUCGGUACACGUGUUGGUCCGACAUCAUGC